AUCAACUUUCGAUGGUAGGAUAGAGGCCUACCAUGGUGGUAACGGGUAACGGGGUGUUAGGGCACGACACCGGAGAGGGAGCCUGAGAAACGGCUACCACAUCCAAGGAUGGCAGCAGGCGCGCAAAUUACCCAAUCCCGACACGGGGAGGUAGUGACAAUAAAUAACAAUACGGGGUUCUUACGGAUCUCGUAAUUGGAAUGAGUACAAUUUAAAUCUCUUAACGAGGAACAAUUGGAGGGCAAGUCUGGUGCCAGCAGCCGCGGUAAUUCCAGCUCCAAUAGCGUAUAUUAAAGUUGUUGCAGUUAAAAAGCUCGUAGUUGAAUUUCGGGAUCAAUAUGUCGGUCGUGCCUCGGUACGUACUGGCAUCAUUGGUUUCUCCCUUCUGAUGAACCAUGAUGCCAUUAAUUUGGUGUCGUGGGGAAUCAGGACUGUUACUUUGAAAAAAUUAGAGUGUUUAAAGCAGGCUCACGCUUGAAUACAUUAGCAUGGAAUAAUGAAAUAGGACGUUUGAUUCUAUUUUGUUGGUUUCUAGGAUCGACGUAAUGAUUAAUAGGGAUAGUUGGGGGCAUUAGUAUUCAAUUGUCAGAGGUGAAAUUCUUGGAUUUAUUGAAGACUAACUACUGCGAAAGCAUUUGCCAAGGAUGUUUUCAUUAAUCAAGAACGAAAGUUAGGGGAUCGAAGACGAUCAGAUACCGUCGUAGUCUUAACCAUAAACUAUGCCGACUAGGGAUCGGAUGAUGUUAAUUUUUUAAUGACUCAUUCGGCGCCUUACGGGAAACCAAAGUGUUUGGGUUC
rnacentral:sRNA from 1 species